AUUUUUUUUUUUUUGGAGCCUAAUGAUGGCCUCCUUUACCUGCAUGGACACCUCUUUGGAUCGCAUGUUGAGGGUUUUGAUAAACAGUGACCAAACCUUUUAUUUUUUCUUAAUUUGUCAUAGAAUAACAAGGGAAAAGGUCCCACCUGGCCAUGAAACUGCUUUCUAGUCAAGUGUCCAGUUACUUUUGAGUCUGUGAAAAUGGGGUGAUAAUGUAUAAAACCGGCUGCAAUUCCUAAAAGGUUAAUGCCAUAUUUUUGUUCAACCCAUUAAAUUAGAGCUGAAAGUCUGCACAAAUCCACUGUGGUGGUGUACAAGGGCAAAACUGUGAACAUAGUGUCACUGUCCAAGUACUUGUGGACCUAACGGUACUUUCCUCCCCUUAUAAUCUGUAUUAUGGGCUCCCCCACCGCCUAACUCCAGCCAGGCUGUUUGCACUAACCACCGAUCCAUCCACCCAUCCACAGACAGUCACAGCUCAAGUCUGACACAGCCCUAAAGUUUAUUUUAUUCAUGUCAUUAAAGUUACACGGCGGAAUCAGAGACACAAAAAAGAGGUUAGAGAGAAAAACAGCAACCAUUCCACAUCAAAUGGCAGAAUGUGUCCAUGGAUCUGUCUGCUCAUGCUGAUAAUGCAUACUACUUACUAAAUGUGCGGUAGAAAUAUACAGAGAACCUACUGUUUAGUAUGCAGUAGGACUACACAUACUAAAUCCUUAAUGCUACUCAGCAGGAGUGCAUAUACAGUCUUUUUGGUGUAUUCCCACUACAUACAUUAUCUAAUCUAUUGAUGAUGCAACUGCAAAAUCUGCUUAUUCUGGAAUGAAACUUCAAGCUAUUCUCAGCUAGAGGUGAAGUUCAGGUGCCGACUGGAUAGUAUGCAGUAAUAGCUGGCAGACAGAGCCCUGGUGUUAGUAAUAAACCAGCAGAGGGCCAGCAUAAACGGAGCAUGGUUUGUGUAUGUAUCUCUGUAUGUAGCCCUUGCCAUGCGUUGAUAAUAAAAAAUCAGACUGCACUUCGUAAA